rnacentral:rRNA from 1 species
UAUGCCGGAAUGAGUAGCGAGAUAAAGGUGAGAAUCCUUUAGGCCGAAUAUCCAAGGUUUCCAGGGUAAAGCUGAUCUGCCCUGGGUAAGUCGGGGCCUAAGGCGAGGACGAGAGUCGUAGCCGAUGGACAACAGGUGGAGAUUCCUGUACUGCGGUAUGACAGAACUGUGGGGACACGUAAGGAAAGCGGAAGCCGGGAAUGGAAAGCCCGGUGCAAGCAGGGUACCAGUCGCUUAGGAAAAACCGGGCGGCAAUGGGAAGCUGUGAUGCGGAGCGAAAUACAAGUAGCGAAGUCCGUGAGCCAUGCGUCAAGAAAAGCCGCUAUUGUUUAUACCGUACCCGUACCGUAAACCGACACAGGUGGAUGAGGAGAGAAUCCUAAGGCCGGCGGAAGAAGCAUUGUCAAGGAACUCGGCAAAAUGACCCCGUAACUUCGGGAGAAGGGGUGCCACUGAGAAGUGGCCGCAGAGAAUAGGCUCAAGCAACUGUUUAGCAAAAACACAGGUCUAUGCGAAACCGAAAGGUGAGGUAUAUGGGCUGACGCCUGCCCGGUGCUGGAAGGUUAAGAGGAGAGGUUAGCGCAAGCGAAGCUUUGAAUUUAAGCCCAAGUAAACGGCGGCCGUAACAAUAACGGUCCUAAGGUAGCGAAAUUCCUUGUCGGGUAAGUUCCGACCCGCACGAAAGGCGUAAUGAUUUGAGCGCUGUCUCGACAAUGCAUCCGGUGAAAUUGAAGUACCAGUGAAGAUGCUGGUUACCUGCGCCAGGACGGAAAGACCCCAUGGAGCUUUACUCCAGUUUGGUACUGGGGUCCGGUAUUGCAUGUACAGGAUAGGUGGGAGGCUAGGAAGCAGUAACGCCAGUUGCUGCGGAGCCGCUGUUGGGAUACCACCCUUGCAGUACUGGGCUUCUAACCAGCCGCCGUGAACCGGCGGUGGGACAAUGCCAGACGGGGAGUUUGACUGGGGCGGUCGCCUCCGAAAGGGUAUCGGAGGCGCCCAAAGGUUCCCUCAGAAUGGACGGAAACCAUUCGAAGAGUGCAAAGGCAGAAGGGAGCUUGACUGCGACACCGACGGGUGGAGCAGGUACGAAAGUAGGGCUUAGUGAUCCGGUGGUAUUAAGUGGGAAUGCCAUCGCUCAACGGAUAAAAGCUACCCUGGGAUAACAGGCUUAUCACUCCCAAGAGUUCACAUCGACGGAGUGGUUUGGCACCUCGAUGUCGGCUCAUCGCAUCCUGGGGCUGUAGUAGGUCCCAAGGGUUGGGCUGUUCGCCCAUUAAAGCGGUACGCGAGCUGGGUUCAGAACGUCGUGAGACAGUUCGGUCCCUAUCCGGCGUGGGCGUAGGAUAUCUGAGAGGAGCUGUCCUUAGUACGAGAGGACCGGGAUGGACGGACCGCUGGUGUACCGGUUAGACUGCCAAGUCUACGGCCGGGUAGCCAAGUCCGGAAGGGAUAAACGCUGAAGGCAUCUAAGCGUGAAGCCCUCCUCAAGAUGAGAUGUCCCAUUCGAAAGAAGUAAACCCCCUUGAAGACGACGAGGUAGAUAGGGCAGGGGUGGAAGUGUGGUAACACAUGGAGCUGACUGUUACUAAUAGGGUGAGGGCUUGACC